rnacentral:misc_RNA from 1 species
UGGCUCUCGCAUCGAUGAAGAACGCAGCGAAAUGCGAUAAGUAAUGUGAAUUGCAGAAUUCAGUGAAUCAUCGAAUCUUUGAACGCACCUUGCGCUCUAUGGUAUUCCGUAGAGCAUGCCUGUUUGAGUGUCAUGAAAACAAUCAACCUUGACUUUGGGUAACUCUGAAGACUUGGAUUGGACUUGGGUGUUUGCCAGCCUCACAGCUGGCUCAUCUUAAAUGUAUUAGCUGGAUUUGUCUGGAUGACAGGUUUGACUUGGCGUAAUAAGUAUUUCGCUGAGGACAUCUCUUUUGAGGUGGCCAGUCUUCAGACAGCAGUCUGCUUUCCAACCUAUGUUUCUCUUUGGAGACAUGACUUUUUAUUAUUUGGCCUCAAAUCAGGUAGGACUACCCGCUGA